CUUUUCGAGGUAGGAGUCGACUCCUGUGAGGUAUGGUGCUGGGUGCAGAUGCAGUGUGGCUCUGGAUAGCACCUUAUGGACAGUUGUGUCCCCAAGGAAGGAUGAGAAUAGCUACUGAAGUCCUAAAGAGCAAGCCUAACUCAAGCCAUUGGCACACAGGCAUUAGACAGAAAGCUGGAAGUUGAAAUGGUGGAGUCCAACUUGCCUGGACCAGCUUAAUGGUUCUGCUCCUGGUAACGUUUUUAUCCAUGGAUGACUUGCUUGGGUAUGGAGAGUCGGCUUGACUACACUGUGUGGAGCAAGUUUUAAAGAAGCAAAGGGUUUUUAAUGACCACAACAAGCAAGCAUGCAGCUUACUGCUUGAAAGGGUCUUGCCUCACCCAAGCUAGAGUGCAGUGGCCUUUGAAGCUUACUACAGCCUCAAACUUCUGGGCUCAAGUGAUCCUCAGCCUCCCAGUGGUCUUUGUAGACUGCCUGAUGGAGUCUCAUGGCACAAGAAGAUUAAAACAGUGUCUCCAAUUUUAAUAAAUUUUUGCAAUCCA
rnacentral:lncRNA from 1 species